UGGAGCCCAGCCAGGCACCCCUGCCAGCAUCACAGGGGACCCUGCCUACCAUCAUGGCCAUCAUCAUCCUGGGGUCACUGCAUGGCCUUGUCUUCAGUGGGCUGGUGGCUAGGAUUCUACUUGGGAAGCUGCGGGGCAGGGAAUCCCAAGGGCAUGAGGAAGUCUCUGAGGUCAUCUAUGAGCAGAUCCUUGAGGAAUGGGUGGAUUCACGUGGUGCACACCUGAGGCCUGGGACCUGCCUGACUGGUGACCCGCCCGCAGAGGACACGCCUGUCAUGCUGCAGGGAGGUGGCCCCCCGCAGGUGGGACAGGAACCCCCCUUGCAGGCAUCCUCGGGGUCCAGCUACGACGAUGUGGGCGCGGCGUGCACGGAGCUGUGAGCCCACCGCUCCUUCUCCACCGGCUUUUCUGCCCUGGGGCGCUUCCAGGGCGAGCCUCGGUUUUCCUAGUUUUGACAGAUUUGUCUUUGGACGCUUCCUUAACAAUCCCCUCCUCUCCUGACGUUAAUAAAACUCCCUUGAUUUAAUAAGAGUCCCGCCUUGCGCUCGUGGGAAUGGGUUCAUUAACCACAGAAUCCCUGGACGGUGCAGAUGCCCAGUCUGUGCCUCUGCCGGUUCCCAUCCAGCGGUGACGGGUGCCAGGCCUGGGGCUCUCGCCCCCACCACCUCCCCUCUGAGUGGGCGGGCUGGGUCCCAGACGCCGGCGGUGCCCCCGCUCGCACUGUGCCGCUCUUAGGGGGCCACCGCUCCCUUCCGACCCUUCAGCAGAGCCUUGUUCCCAGCACACAUGAUUUGUGAGGAGUGGGGGUCCGCUUUUUCCCAUUGCCCUGAUAGUUCUCCAUUUUCAGGCGACUUUUAUUUUUAAUUGAAGGAUCAUUAUUUUUCAAUAUUGUGAUAGUUUCUACUCAGGCAACAUUUUUAUUCUUACAAACAAGAUGUUCUUUGAGGAGAAUGUGUGAAAGAGGCAUCAGAAGAAAGAAAUGUUCACCCUGCGGUCAGACUUGCUAACGACUGUCUCCUUAAAAACGCGUGAGGGGCUUCCCCGCUGGCUUGGUGGUAAAGAGCCCGUGGGUUCCGUCCCUGAUCUGGGAGGCGCCCACUGCCACGCGUUGCGGAGCAGCCAGGCCUGUGCGCCGCAACUCCGGAACCCGUGCUCGGGAGCUUGGGAACCGCAGCUGCUGGAGCCGGUGCGCCCGAGACACGCGCUCGACAGCAGGAGAGGCCCCGCAGUGAGAGGCUCGUGCCACAGCUAGAGAAAAGCCCUGCUCUGGCAACCGAGACUCAGCACAGCCCCGAAUAGCUAACUAAACAGAUA
rnacentral:lncRNA from 1 species